AACUUACCGACCCACCUACAUUCUAAACCAAUGACAUGGCCUACUCUCUUUAUCAAAGGUUUAGAAAAUAAUCUGUAAGGCAUAACUGUAUGCAAUACAAAUGCCAGAUUCAUUACCCUUCACAAGCAAAAGAUACAUGAGCAAAGAAAAAAAUUCUUCCUUUGAAAGCAUCUUAUAGAAUAAUACGAGCAAUUCAAUUAACACCCAAGUAACAAACAUCAGUUACAUAGAAUAUAUGUCAGGGGGGCCGUACAAGAAAGACAGGUCUUAAAAUUCAAAGCCCAGAGUGCCUGGGUGGCUCAGUUGGCUGAACAACCAACUCUUGGUUUCAGCUCAGAUCACGAUCUCAGGAUCAUGGGCCCUCAGGGUCAUGGAGCUCACGUGGGCUCCUCAAAUAAAUAUAUAAAUCUAAAAAAAAAAAAAAAGAAAGAAAAUCAAGCCUGAGUCAUUCCCCGAGAUACUAUGUGUACUUCUGUCUUGCUGGGCUGUCAACAGCUACAAAAAGGAAUCCUUCCUUGCUGAAAAUCUAAUUUCCAUUGAAACAAUACUGGAUUUUAAGUACUUCAUACUGUCAGAAAAGUUACAAGAUUAAAAAGGAUGUCACAGCAUAUGUCAUUCACUCUGACUCACGAGACUCCUCCACAACCUCACCAACAAGCAGUCAUCCCUAUGCUGUCUUCAAUUGUAACAGCUAAUAUUUAUUGAGUGCGGACUCUUCCUGUUACUUUUCCAUAUACUUUAUACAUAUGUACUGUGUCAAUUCUUGCAACCACAGUAUGAGGUAGGCACUGUUAUAUUCUCGACUUACAAAUGAGGAAAUGAGGCACAAUGAAGUCAUUUGCCUAAAGUCAUACAGAUGGUAAGUGGCAGAUCACAUGCAGAUAUUGAAAUGAAUGUUAAAAAUAAUUUUACGUCAAUUAAUUUGAUUUAAAUGAAAUGUCAAAAUUCCUUAAAAUAUCAUUUUCCAAAACUGAUUCAAAAAGAAAACAGAGUACGUACAAAUAACUCAGAAUUUAAAACUUUCCCACACAGAAAACCCCAGCCUCUAAUACCUUCACUGCCAGAUUCCAUUGCACACUUAAGGAAGAAAUAAUACCAAUUACUACACAAAGAAUUUCAGAAAAUAAAGAAAAAGGGAGCACACCCAGACUCAUUUUAAGAGCCUAGUAUUACUCUGAUAUCAAAACCAGGCAUGGAAGUCAUAAUUUACAAUGAGGAAUAAGGCAAGAUAACUGUUCUCAUCAUCAAAAACAUGAAAUUCUUACAGAUACAUUUAACAAGAGAUGUAUAAUAGCAUUGUACCUUGAAAACUAAAAAACAUUACUGAGAGAAAUUAAUGAUGACCUCAACAAAUAGAAAGAAAAAUGAUGUUUAUAGAUUUAGAAUUUGGUAUUAUCAAGAUGGCCAUUUUCCCCCAAAUGAUCUAUAUUUUUAAUGAAAUCACAAUACUGUCAGGCACUAUUAAAGCAAACAUGAUCAGAGAAACUCAUAAGCUGAUUCUAAAUCGUAUAGGGAAAGAUACAGAGUAACUAAAAACAAUUUUGAAAAAGAAGAAAAAAGGUAGAAGAUUUAUACUGAUUAGAAUAAUUAUAAAUUCAAUAAUUAUAAAGCUCCUGUGGUACUGGCUCAGGAUUAGAUCAAAGGGAGAGAAUAGAGUCAGAAACAGACCCAUGCUUAUAUGGUCAAUUGAUUUUAAACAAAAGUGCCAAGGUAAUUAAAUGGGGAAAAGAUUAUCUUUUCAACAAAUAGUGUUAGAACAAUUGGACCUCCAUACACAAAAGAAUGAACCUUGACCCUUAACUCAUACCACACAUUAAAAUGAACUCAAUUACACACACAGGUAAAAACUAAAGUUACACAAAUCCCCAAAGAAAACAAUGGAGAAUAUUUAUAAAUGCUUGAUGAAGGCAAAUGUUUCUUAACUAGGACACAAAACCCACAAGCUAUAUAAAAUGUUUUUAAAUAUGGAACUUUAUCAAAAUUUAAGACUUCUCUUAAAAAAAUACCAUUAAGGAAAAUUAAAUGGGAAGAAAUACUUGCAAUACAUACAUGUGACAGGAAAAGAAUAUAUAAUCAUACAACUUAUAAAAAAGACAUACAAUCUUUCCACAAAAUGGGAAAAACUUAAGCAUAAAACAAAACAAAAACAGGAAAAGUGAUUGUAGACAUGGUUGACAGUGUUAUAGACUGAAUUGUGUCCCCCCAAAUUUUUAUGUUGAGGUUUUAACCUUCAAAGUGACUAUAUUUGGAGACAAGACCUUUAAAGAGUUAAUGAAGGAGAUUAAAGUCAGAAGGGCAGAGCCCUAAUUCCAUGGGAUUGGUGUCCUUAUAAGAAGAAGAAGAGGGAUCCCUGGGUGGCGCAGCGGUUUGGCGCCUGCCUUUGGCCCAGGGCGCGAUCCUGGAGACCCGGGAUCGAAUCCCACGUCACGCUCCCGGUGCGUGGAGCCUGCUUCUCCCUCUGCCUGUGUCUCUGCCUCUCUCUCUCUCUCUCUCUCUGUGACUAUCAUAAAUAAGUUUAAAAAAAAAAAAAA
rnacentral:lncRNA from 1 species